rnacentral:lncRNA from 1 species
GGGUGUCAAGAAAUGUAACAUAUAUAAUGGGAUGUGCAAAUAACUUAAGACCAGAUAUACCCCUAGUGAAACCCAUUUGUAGUAGCACGUUUUUAGCAUCUUCGCUAGCCAAGGACUACGAUCAGGUCCCCUUUUCUCCACUGGAUCGUAAUACUUGGCUAUUUUGGAGUGUUCCAUCUUUCUUUUCCAAAUACGAUGUUUCUAAUAUUUUAGUUAGAAUGCUGGUUAUGAUCAAUUUUAGAUAAACUCUUGUGUCUUUUAAUUCCUUCCCUUUACGCUAAUGCACCGGAGUAACUAUACCAAGUUUCAAUAAAUCAGGUAUUGAACAUACAUCAAGCUCCAAUUCGUUGUUAUAUGAGACAUCUUAAUUAUUAGAGCAUAAAGGAAAAACCAGUUCUUCAAACUAAUCAG